GGGAAAGUAACUCAGUGGUAGAGUAUCUGUUUUGCACUCAGAAAGACAACGGUUCAAAUCCGUUCUUUUCCA
rnacentral:tRNA from 1 species